UAAAAUUGUUUAGUGGUGUGUCUGGUGAAAAAAUCUAAGCGUGAAGAGGUGAUCACUCCAACGUACGAGCAAACCUGAAGGCAUCUUCCUUCAAAAAUAUUAACAUGAGGAAACAAGUUUCCUUUACUGUUGCGUUGAUCAGCAUGAAUGAAUGACAGACUAUGUUCUUCGUCGUGAAUUUUUUUGUUUUUGCCAUCAUAAACACAGCAAGCAAUGAGAAACACUCGCUGAGACACAUCUACACGGCCUUCUCCAAACCUGUGAACUUCUCGGGCAUCCAUAAUUUCACUGCUAUGGGUCUACUGGACGACAGAAUGAUCUACUACUACGACAGCUCUAUGGAUAAGAAAAUUCCCAAACAGAAGUGGAUGAAGGAGAGACUCAAGCCGGAUUACUGGGAUAAAGGUACAGAGUUCCUGAGGAGAGAGCAGAUGCGGUUCAGUGAUAUCUUCAACCAAAUGAGACAAAAUUCUAGUGACACUCAUGUUCUUCAGUGGAUGCAUGGCUGUGUCGGCGAAGAGGAUAAAAAUGGCAGCGUCAGGUUUCAGGAUGUUGAGGAUGGCAUGGACAUGUACAAUUUUGACGGAGAUGAAUUCCUGCCUAACGAUACUGAAAAACAAGAAUGGGCGUUUGCAGCAGAUGCAAAACUCUUCCCCAAGAUGGAGGCUUACCAAGUGAAGGAGUGCAUGGACUGGAUGGACACGUUUCUCGGUUAUUUAAGAUCACAUCUCAGAAAUGCAACUCUUGCCGCUCCACCUAAAGUGUUUGUGUUUAAAACUCCAGCUAAAGAAAAGGCAAACAUUGUGCUGACCUGCUUAGCCACAGGCUUCUAUCCAAAAGAUAUUACUAUGGAGAUCAAGAGAGACGGCCGUGUUCUAACAGCAGAUGAUGGUCUGGUGUCGACUGGCAUUCGCCCAAAUGACGAUGACACCUUCCAAAGACGAGAGCAUGUGGAGAUUCUGAGGACAGACUCCUCAAAUUACACUUGCAGAGUCAUCCAUAAAGGCUUCAGCAUUGAUGUUGAGGAGACCUGGGAUCGCCAACCUUCUCCGAAUGAUGCAACAGGAACUCCUAUUGGUGGCGUUGUUGUUGGCGUUGUUGUUGGUGUUGGAGUCGUCUUGAUUGCUGUGUGUGUUGCAGUGUGGUGCAGAAAAAACGUAAGCAAAGAAAUUAUUCUUCUGUUUUUUUUUAUUUUUUUAUAACUGUUGAAUGGACGUGCACUUGAUGAUCCACUACAUUUUUAUAGAUCCAAUAUGAUGUUAAUUCAUCAAAACCGCAUUUAUUGUGUUUGGUUUUAGCUUUACAAACUCUGACUCUGUUUCUGUUUGAACUUUAUUUUUUUUUUAAGUUGCCCAAGAUAACCUCCUUCUGCAGCAGAUGCAAUAGGAUCUUCAACGCUGCUUACCAUUCUCACAGAGUUAAUGAAAGCGAUGGAGAUGAUCUGUCUUAUUCAAUGGCUUCAACUUCAAUUUAAGCUCCACAGCAAGUCUGUUGGUCAUAAAGGAAUCAUAAUUCUAUCAGGUGAUAUGACAAAGUGAAUGUUAAGUUCUAUGUCUCUGUAUGGUAAAUUCUUCUCUUUUUUUUCUAAUUUUUUCUAAAUUUUGUCUUAGAUAAAUAAAAUAUUUGUGACCAAAACCAUCUGCAGUAUUUUAAAAUGUUUUUUUUUUUUUUAUUUACCUUUAAGUAUUAA